AAAUAUGAAGUAUUAUACAAUUAGUUUCGACCUAAUUUUUGGUAAUUUAUUACCCAUAUUUA
rnacentral:tRNA from 1 species